GCUGCGAUGGCCGAGUGGUUAAGGUGUUGGACUCGAAAUCCAUUGGGAUAUUCCCGCGCCGGUUCGAAUCAUGUUCGCAUCG
rnacentral:tRNA from 1 species